rnacentral:lncRNA from 1 species
ACCUGCUUGUCCUGCAGGUCCGAGGAGAGCUCAUAGCUCUCGGAGAGCGAGCGCGAGCGCUUGAUGGCGUCCUCCUCUGCCUGCUUGCGCAGGAUGGAGGUCGAGUGCUGCAGCUUGGGCCUCCGUGCGCGCUGCUGUCCUGGCGGCCCCGAGUACAGCCCAUAGGCGCCCAGGGAUGGGUGCUCGUAGUGGUCGGGGCUCAGCGACUGCGUCCUCUCGGAGUGGCAGUGCAGACACCACAUGGCGGCGGCCGCCGGACGGACCGGGCCGGGCGCGGGGACCCAGGCCCGCCCGAGUGCCGCCGACUUCCGCCGCGGCGGCCGAUCCCCGACCCCUCAGCCCCCCGAGACCUGACAGCCCCGGCCGGAGGACCCCGCAGGGUCGCCUGGCGCAGUGCCCGCCGCUUCCCGCCGCUUCCGAGCCGAGUCAGAGCCCCAGACCGCCUAGUCCACCCCUCCGCCACCGCCCGCCUGGCGCAGCGCGCCGCCGCUUUCGAGGCCGGGGAAGAGGCUACGUGCAGGCCCUACCACGGGAGUCUGCCAACAGCCACAUCUUCCUCGCAACUGGUCACCUGCGCAAACAGCGCCGCUCCGCCCAGCCGGGGCCCAAGUGCCGACGCCCACCCAGAUUUCGCCCCGGCUCAGGGCCCAGAGCCGGGUGGGUCUCAUCCCGAGGCUCUGAGGAAAAACUUUCUCCCCAAGCGCGCCCAGCCCAGCACAACCCAGUUUUUAACAUGAGCCAAGGAUCUGAACAGACUUCCCCAGAGAAGACAGACAGAUGGCCAGCAACCCCUGAAAAGAUGGCCUCGACAGCUCUGGUCGCUAGGGAAUGGAGGCCCGCGCCUGGGCUGCGGCUCUGGAAGGAGACCGCUGGGCCCCGCGGCUCACGAACACAUCUGGCCCCUCUCCUGGGGUGGGCCGCGCUGGCAGGGGCGGCCUGAAAUAGCCCCUCUGCGGGGGCCCAGCCGGACCUGCCCUCCC